CCUACGGGAGGCAGCAGUGGGGAAUAUUGGACAAUGGGGGGAACCCUGAUCCAGCGACGCCGCGUGAGUGAAGAAGUAUUUCGGUAUGUAAAGCUCUAUCAGCAGGGAAGAAAGAAAUGACGGUACCUGACUAAGAAGCCCCGGCUAACUACGUGCCAGCAGCCGCGGUAAUACGUAGGGGGCAAGCGUUAUCCGGAUUUACUGGGUGUAAAGGGAGCGUAGACGGCGAUGCAAGUCUGAAGUGAAAGGCGGGGGCCCAACCCCCGGACUGCUUUGGAAACUGGAUGGCUGGAGUGCAGGAGAGGUAAGUGGAAUUCCUAGUGGAGCGGUGAAAUGCGUAGAGAUUAGGAGGAACACCAGUGGCGAAGGCGGCUUACUGGACUGUAACUGACGUUGAGGCUCGAAAGCGUGGGGAGCAAACAGGAUUAGAUACCCGAGUAGUC
rnacentral:rRNA from 1 species